rnacentral:rRNA from 1 species
UACGGAGGGGGCUAGCGUUGUUCGGAAUUACUGGGCGUAAAGCGCGCGUAGGCGGACCUGCAAGUCGGGGGUGAAAGCCCGAGGCUCAACCUCGGAACUGCCUUCGAUACUGCGGGUCUCGAGUCCGGGGAGAGGUGAGUGGAAUUCCUAGUGUAGAGGUGAAAUUCGUAGAUAUUAGGAAGAACACCAGUGGCGAAGGCGGC